rnacentral:rRNA from 1 species
ACAGGGAUUGCCCUAGUAACGGCGAGUGAAGCGGCAACAGCUCAAAUUUGAAAUCUGGCUCUUUCAGGGUCCGAGUUGUAAUUUGCAGAGGGUGCUUUGGUGUUGGCGGCGGUCUAAGUUCCUUGGAACAGGACAUCGCAGAGGGUGAGAAUCCCGUAUGUGGUCGCCUGCCUUCGCCGUGUAAAGCCCCUUCGACGAGUCGAGUUGUUUGGGAAUGCAGCUCUAAAUGGGAGGUAAAUUUCUUCUAAAGCUAAAUACCGGCCAGAGACCGAUAGCGCACAAGUAGAGUGAUCGAAAGAUGAAAAGCACUUUGGAAAGAGAGUCAAACAGCACGUGAAAUUGUUAAAAGGGAAGCGCUUGCAGCCAGACUUGCCUGUAGUUGCUCGCCUGGGCUUUUGCCCGGGUUACUCUUCUGCAGGCAGGCCAGCAUCAGUUUGGGCGGUCGGAUAAAGGUCCCUUUCACGUAUCUCCCUUCGGGGUUAACAUAUAGGGGGGACGUAAUGCGACCAGCCUGGACUGAGGUCCGCGCAUCUGCUAGGAUGCUGGCGUAAUGGCUGUAAGCGGCCCGUCUUGAAACACGGACCAAGGAGUCUAACAUCUAUGCGAGUGUUUGGGUGUCAAGCCCGAGCGCGUAAUGAAAGUGAACGGAGGUGGGAACCCCUCGGGGCGCACCAUCGACCGAUCCUGAUGUCUUCGGAUGGAUUUGAGUAAGAGCAUAGCUGUUGGGACCCGAAAGAUGGUGAACUAUGCUUGAAUAGGGUGAAGCCAGAGGAAACUCUGGUGGAGGCUCGCAGCGGUUCUGACGUGCAAAUCGAUCGUCAAAUUUGGGCAUAGGGGCGAAAGACUAAUCGAAC